rnacentral:pre_miRNA from 2 species
UACUGCUUUCAGCUUCUUUACAGUGUUGCCUUGUGGCAUGGAGUUCAAGCAGCAUUGUACAGGGCUAUCAAAGCAUUA